rnacentral:rRNA from 1 species
GACGAACGCUGGCGGCGUGCCUAAUACAUGCGAGUUGAGCGCUGAAGGUUGGUACUUGUACCAACUGGAUGAGCAGCGAACGGGUGAGUAACGCGUGGGGAAUCUGCCUUUGAGCGGGGGACAACAUUUGGAAACGAACGCUAAUACCGCAUAAAAACUUUAAACACAAGUUUUAAGUUUGAAAGAUGCAAUUGCAUCACUCAAAGAUGAUCCCGCGUUGUAUUAGCUAGUUGGUGAGGUAAAGGCUCACCAAGGCGAUGAUACAUAGCCGACCUGAGAGGGUGAUCGGCCACAUUGGGACUGAGACACGGCCCAAACUCCUACGGGAGGCAGCAGUAGGGAAUCUUCGGCAAUGGACGAAAGUCUGACCGAGCAACGCCGCGUGAGUGAAGAAGGUUUUCGGAUCGUAAAACUCUGUUGGUAGAGAAGAACGUUGGUGAGAGUGGAAAGCUCAUCAAGUGACGGUAACUACCCAGAAAGGGACGGCUAACUACGUG